rnacentral:rRNA from 1 species
AUUCAACGCUGGCCGUAGGCCUAACACAUGCAAGUCGGGCGACCGGCGGACGGGUCCGUAAUGUAUGGGGAUCUGCCUGAUGGAGGGGGCUAACUACUGGAAACGGUAGCUAAUACCGCAUACCAUCACAUCAACCCCUAUGUGAUUCGCUAGUAGGGGAGGUAACGGCGCACCUAGGCGACGAUCCCUAGCUGGUCUGAGAGGAUGAUCAGCCACACUGGGACUGAGACACGGCACAGACACCUACGGGAGGCAGCAGUGGGGAAUAUUGCACAAUGGGCGCAAGCCUGAUGCAGCCAUGCCGCGUGUAUGAAGAAGGCCUUCGGGUUGUAAAGUACUUUCAGUCGGGAGGCGUUACCGACAGAAGAAGCACCGGCUAACUCCGUGCCAGCAGCCGCGGUAAUUC